GAUCAUAUGGUGUAAAAAACACAGAAAGUUGCAAACUUUCAGAUUUAUUAUGGUUA
rnacentral:tRNA from 1 species